CUCCCUGGGGUGUUUGGUUACUGGCAUUGUCCCUCGAGCCGAUAAUCAUACCACCGGGGGCAGCUCGUAAGCCUUGAUGUGCAUGUCCGCCUGACGGAAAGCCUAAUAGGUUUCAGUUGCUCCCACCUUGAACCUUCGGGUUCAGGGGCUGCGUCGGUACCGGCACUUCCGGGGA
rnacentral:other from 1 species